AUUUGAAAACUAAAAUUAAUAGAAUCUUUUGGAGAUGCUCUAAUAUGACAUUCAUCAAUUAGAUGUAGUUAAGUAACUUUACAAGCUAUGAAAUACAUAAAUGACACAUGGCAAUGGGAUUCAUGUAGGGAUUCAAAUGUUAAGAUCACUAAUCACUAGCGUUAUUGAUAAAACUAAUUCCAAUAAAUAAUGAUGAAUAAUAAUAUCUAGAUCUCCAUUGUUUGAUGAAAUUAACAAUUUUACUCUACUUAAUAAUUUAUCAACCAUAUUCUUAAUCGUUAUUUUUGAGUUUUGACUAUUAAAUACUAUUUAAUUUGACCUACAUAUAUAAUGAGUACGCUUAGGUUCGCUUGGAAUUGAGGUGUUGUGACUUUUAAGCUACAGUUGCUGUGGAAAAAAAAAUUAUAAUUAUGAAACAAAACUUAAUAAUAUAU
rnacentral:lncRNA from 1 species